GGUUGGUGGCUGCCACGACACAGCCCUGCACACAGGGGCUGCUUGACACUCACAAGGGUCUAACACCUGUUCUAGGGACCUUGUUCAGUGACCACUCUCACUGGCAGGAAGUAUUUCUUGCGUAUAAAUAAGAAUUCCUGAUGCAAUUUCAACCAACUUUCACUCAUUUGGUCCUUAGGAGGGAGAAGAAACAACUGGCUCAUGCCCAGCUUCCUGGCACUGAAUGGGCACACAGGCCUCAGGACAAACUUUCUUACUGGUUCUUCAAUUAAGCACCUCCCCUUUUCCUUUUUACCCCAAAUAAAUGAUCUGCACAAGGUACCUAUUAUUUUAUACAGGUUCUUUGGCAAGGAACUACCUCCUAGAUACUAAUAUCCACAUUACCC
rnacentral:lncRNA from 1 species